CUCAAACUUCAAAAUAACGGCAGAAGUGGAUGGAGCCUCAUACUUCACAAGGGGGAAAUUGAAUGAGAUCAUAAUGGACAAAAGUAUAUCCUGUCUUGCAUACUUGAUCUUGAAAGGCUGUGUAGAGAAACUGUUGUCUGUAUCAUCAAUCUUCCAUACUCCAUAACUAUUACCAGAUCCCAGAUCCGGUGCUUCAUACUGAACAACUCUAGCUGGUGUUCCAACGGAAGUAUACUCGCUGUCUUCCCAUCUCAUGG
rnacentral:misc_RNA from 1 species